ensembl:lncRNA
AUGGAGUCAGAGAACAGAGGAAGGGCCUGGUCUGAAGAGGAAGCUGCUGUGGGCAGUGUAGGGACAGGCUCAGUUCCGGUGACAGUGAGAAAAUCUCAAGGAGAACGGCUUGGAGCUCCAGAGACGGGGGUGGCAUGGAGGAGAGACUCUGGGACCUCUCAAAGCCCGAGACCAUCCCUUUGGCACCAUGGGAUAAACCUUAAUCCCCUCCUCCCAAGGUUUGUAUCCAGGGAACCUCAGGCUAGGAUGAAUAUUCCCCAAGUAAGAGGCAAUCCCAGCACUGUGACUGUUGCCAAGAAAAUGAACCACAGGCACAGAUGUCUAAGAUAUGACUCACAACUCAAUACAGUGUCUCUUACCUCACUCACCCGGAAGUUAAGCUAUCCCAAUGGGUGGGAAGUGGUAUCUCAUUGAGGCUUUGGUCUGCACUUCCCCUGAUGAAUAAUAAUGUUGAGUAUUUUUUCAAUGGGCUUGUUGUCCAUUCGCAUAUCUUCUUUGGAGAAAUAUCUAUUCAUAUAUUUCACCCAUUUUUAAUGGAAUUAUUUGUCUUUUUACUGUUUGUAAAAAGUAUUUGUAAAAAUUGUUUGGCUUUUUACGGUUGAGUUGUGAGAGUUCUUUAUACAUUCUCAAUGCAGGUCCCUUAUCAAAUAUAUGAUUUGCAAAUAUUUUCCCCCAUUCUGAGAGUUAUCUCUUCACUUUCCUGAUGGUGUCCUUUAGAGCACAAAGGUUUUUAGUUUGGGGGCUGCACCACGCAGCAUGCGGGGAUCUUAGUUCCUUGACCAGGGAUCGAACCCAUGGCUCGUACAGUGGAAGCACAGAGUCUUAGACCAUCAGGGAAGUCCAAACGUUUUUAAUUUUUAUGCCAUCCAAUUUAUGUGGAUUUUUUUUCCCCUCGCCACUUGUGCUUUUGGUGUAGUGUCGAAAAGAACCCGUCGCCUGAUCCAAGGCCACGAAGAGUUACUGCUGUGCUUCCUUCUAAGAAUUUUUAUAGUUUUAGUGUUGUGUUUUGUUUUUUAAACGGUAUGAGGUAGCAAUCCAACCACAUUCUUUUACAUGCAGCUAUCUAGCACUGUUUGCUGAAAAGACUAUUCUUCCUACCCUAUACUGUCUCAGCACCCUGACGGAAAAUUAAUUGACUGUAAGUGUAAGGGCUUAUUCUCAAUUCUAUUUCACUGAUCUAUACGUCUACCCAGUAGUAGCAUCUUGAUUCCUGUAGGUUUGCACUAACUAUACAUUUUAAACAAUACAUAUCACGGCUUGGCUAGGUGGGAGAGAAGCGCGAGCAGAGGAGGUGGGGGCCCUCUGACCCGCUCCCAGGGCUGAGGGGGUCCACCCUCUUCUCUGCUCCUCGACAGCUGCCUGCCCGGCCUCCCCUGGAUGUGGCCUCCAAUGCUCUAGGUUUUCACUGGGAGGAAGCUAGAGCCUCCCAAGAAGGAACCCCGCACCCUGGCCGCCCACGCGACUGCCGCUGGGAGGUGCCGUCUCUUACCCCAAGUUUUCUGCCUUCCAUUCCUGGGGCCCUGGAAUCAAAGCGGGAAAAUCAAGAAGCUGGAUAGUGAGCAAGUGGGCUACACCAAUUACUUGUUAAUUACAUACCAAUGGGCCCGUAGGCGCCGGGAGCCGGGCCGGGGCUGCUGGAGUGGUCCGAACCACUCGGAGGAG